UACUCGAGUGGCGAACGGGUGAGUAACACGUGGGUGAUCUGCCCUGCACUCUGGGAUAAGCCUGGGAAACUGGGUCUAAUACCGGAUAGGACCAUGCUUUAGUGUGUGUGGUGGAAAGUUUUUUCGGUGUAGGAUGAGCCCGCGGCCUAUCAGCUUGUUGGUGGGGUAAUGGCCUACCAAGGCGGCGGCGGGUAGCCGGACUGAGAGGUUGGUCGGCCACAUUGGGACUGAGAUACGGCCCAG
rnacentral:rRNA from 1 species